UACGUAGGGUGCGAGCGUUGUCCGGAAUUAUUGGGCGUAAAGGGCUCGUAGGCGGUUUGUCGCGUCGGGAGUGAAAACACCGGGCUUAACUCGGUGCUUGCUUUCGAUACGGGCAGACUAGAGGCAUGCAGGGGAGAACGGAAUUCCUGGUGUAGCGGUGGAAUGCGCAGAUAUCAGGAGGAACACCGGUGGCGAAGGCGGGAUCCUGGGCCAGUACUGACGCUGAGGCGCGAAAGCUAGGGGAGCGAACAGG
rnacentral:rRNA from 1 species